AGCAGCUUAGUCGACGGCCCGGCGGCGGCAAGCUAGCGCUCUGUCAAAGCUAACAUAGGCGUUCGCUCCCUUAGCCGUUU
rnacentral:tRNA from 1 species